rnacentral:pre_miRNA from 1 species
CCCCGAACUCCGAGGAUGGGAGCUGAGGGCUGGGUCUUUGCGGGCGAGAUGAGGGUGUCGGAUCAACUGGCCUACAAAGUCCCAGUUCUCGGCCCCCGGGACCAGCGUCUUCUCCC